rnacentral:rRNA from 1 species
UACGUAGGGUGCAAGCGUUGUCCGGAAUUAUUGGGCGUAAAGAGCUCGUAGGCGGUCUGUCGCGUCUGCUGUGAAAACUCAGGGCUUAACCCUGAGCUUGCAGUGGGUACGGGCAGACUAGAGUGCGGUAGGGGAGACUGGAAUUCCUGGUGGAGCGGUGAAAUGCGCAGAUAUCAGGAGGAACACCCGUAGCGAAGGCGGCACUCUGGGCCGAUACUGACACUGAGGAGCGAAAGCGUGGGGAGCGAACAGG